rnacentral:rRNA from 1 species
CCUACGGGGGGCAGCAGUGGGGAAUUUUGCGCAAUGGGCGAAAGCCUGACGCAGCAACGCCGCGUGAGUGAUGAAGGCUUUCGGGUCGUAAAGCUCUGUCGAGGGGAAAGAAGUGUACUUUGGCUAAUAUCCAUUGUACUUGACGGUACCCCUAAAGGAAGCACCGGCUAACUCCGUGCCAGCAGCCGCGGUAAUACGGAGGGUGCAAGCGUUGUUCGGAUUUAUUGGGCGUAAAGCGCGUGUAGGCGGUUUGUUAAGUCUGAUGUGAAAGCCCUGGGCUCAACCUGGGAAGUGCAUUGGAAACUGUCAGACUUGAAUACGGGAGAGGGUAGUGGAAUUCCUAGUGUAGGAGUGAAAUCCGUAGAUAUUAGGAGGAACACCGGUGGCGAAGGCGGCUACCUGGACCGAUAUUGACGCUGAGACGCGAAAGCGUGGGUAGCAAACAGGAUUAGAUACCCGAGUAGUC